rnacentral:RNase_P_RNA from 1 species
UAAAUUGAACAGUCGCGGGGCAAUUCCGAAAGGACUGCUCCGAGGAAAGUCCGGGCUCCACAGAGCAAUAGCAACGGCUAACGGCCGCCGGGGGCGACCCCAGGGAAAGUGCAACAGAGAAUAACCGCCGAUUAAUCGGUAAGGGUGGAAAGGCGAGGUAAGAGCUCACCGCAGAUGCGGAGACGCAUCGGGCGUGUAAACCCUGCUUGGAGCAACACCGUGGAGGAACAUUUGCCUGCUCGGCAGUUCCGCGGAGGUGGCGUCGAGCGCUGUCGGUAACGACGCGCCAAGAUAGAUGACUGUUCGCGACAGAACCCGGCUUACAGAUUUAGUC